UCGGUUGCCAAAGAUGUCUAUUUCCAGUUACUCAUGUUCGUCUGUAUGUCUUGUUAUGUUGAUGUAGCUCAGAUCCUCAGAUCGUGGAUUUGGUAUCAAGUUCAGGGCUCUG